AGGGAGCAGUGAUAAAUACAAGAUGUGCCCCAAGUGCCUUGACACUGCUGAACGGCCAAACUGCGGGACCUCACCAAUUACACAGCUGCUUUUCCAUGGCAGACCUGUGUGUUAAUUCACAGGUGUCCAAGACCUAACAUGCAUGAAGGCAAUAUAGCUGCAGUUGCUUCUGACCACUGGAGUGAAAGAGAAGAAGCAAUUAACAGGUUUUCUCCACUCUCCUGGCUGUUGGCAGUCAAGCAGAACCUGGAAUUUAGGCUAAAAUAACCAAAGUAAAAAAUUCUUAAAAACUGACAA